UGCACUUAUGUAUGUUUCUGUUUAACUUGUGGACGAAGACUUAUGGAUAGGUGCAAAAAAUAAAUCCUCUUGGCCAGGAACGGU
ensembl:snoRNA